rnacentral:rRNA from 1 species
GACGAACGCUGGCGGCGUGCUUAACACAUGCAAGUCGAACGGAAAGGCCCUGCUUUUGUGGGGUGCUCGAGUGGCGAACGGGUGAGUAACACGUGAGUAACCUGCCCUUGACUUUGGGAUAACUUCAGGAAACUGGGGCUAAUACCGGAUAGGAGCUCCUGCUGCAUGGUGGGGGUUGGAAAGUUUCGGCGGUUGGGGAUGGACUCGCGGCUUAUCAGCUUGUUGAUGGGGUAGUGGCCUACCAAGGCUUUGACGGGUAGCCGGCCUGAGAGGGUGACCGGCCACAUUGGGACUGAGAUACGGCCCAGACUCCUACGGGAGGCAGCAGUGGGGAAUAUUGCACAAUGGGCGGAAGCCUGAUGCAGCAACGCCGCGUGCGGGAUGACGGCCUUCGGGUUGUAAACCGCUUUCGCCUGUGACGAAGCGUGAGUGACGGUAAUGGGUAAAGAAGCACCGGCUAACUACGUGCCAGCAGCCGCGGUGAUACGUAGGGUGCGAGCGUUGUCCGGAUUUAUUGGGCGUAAAGGGCUCGUAGGUGGUUGAUCGCGUCGGAAGUGUAAUCUUGGGGCUUAACCCUGAGCGUGCUUUCGAUACGGGUUGACUUGAGGAAGGUAGGGGAGAAUGGAAUUCCUGGUGGAGCGGUGGAAUGCGCAGAUAUCAGGAGGAACACCAGUGGCGAAGGCGGUUCUCUGGGCCUUUCCUGACGCUGAGGAGCGAAAGCGUGGGGAGCGAACAGGCUUAGAUACCCUGGUAGUCCACGCUGUAAACGGUGGGUACUAGGUGUGGGGUCCAUUCCACGGGUUCCGUGCCGUAGCUAACGCUUUAAGUACCCCGCCUGGGGAGUACGGCCGCAAGGCUAAAACUCAAAGGAAUUGACGGGGCCCCGCACAAGCGGCGGAGCAUGCGGAUUAAUUCGAUGCAACGCGUAGAACCUUACCUGGGUUUGACAUGGAUCGGGAGUACUCAGAGAUGGGUGUGCCUCUUUUGGGGUCGGUUCACAGGUGGUGCAUGGCUGUCGUCAGCUCGUGUCGUGAGAUGUUGGGUUAAGUCCCGCAACGAGCGCAACCCUUGUUCACUGUUGCCAGCACGUUAUGGUGGGGACUCAGUGGAGACCGCCGGGGUCAACUCGGAGGAAGGUGGGGAUGACGUCAAGUCAUCAUGCCCCUUAUGUCCAGGGCUUCACGCAUGCUACAAUGGCUGGUACAGAGAGUGGCGAGCCUGUGAGGGUGAGCGAAUCUCGGAAAGCCGGUCUCAGUUCGGAUUGGGGUCUGCAACUCGACCUCAUGAAGUCGGAGUCGCUAGUAAUCGCAGAUCAGCAACGCUGCGGUGAAUACGUUCCCGGGGCU